rnacentral:rRNA from 1 species
UACAGAGGUCCCAAGCGUUGUUCGGAUUCACUGGGCGUAAAGGGUGCGUAGGUGGCAGGGUAAGUUUGUUGUGAAAUCUCCGAGCUUAACUCGGAAACUGCAUUGAUUACUAUCCUGCUCGAGGGUUGGAGGGGGGACUGGAAUUCUCGGUGUAGCAGUGAAAUGCGUAGAUAUCGAGAGGAACACCAGUGGCGAAGGCGAGUCCCUGGACAAUACCUGACACUGAGGCACGAAAGCUAGGGGAGCAAACAGG